CGGAUUGCAGGCUGNAACCCGCCUGUAUGAAGUUGGAAUCGCUAGUAAUCGCGGAUCAGCAUGCCGCGGUGAAUACGUUCCCGGGCCUUGUACACACCGCCCGUCACACCAUGAGAGUCGGGAACACCCGAAGUCCGUAGCCUAACCGCAAGGAGGGCGCGGCCGAAGGUGGGUUCGAUAAUUGGGGUGAAGUCGUAACAAGGUAUC
rnacentral:rRNA from 1 species